rnacentral:tRNA from 1 species
AAAAAAAUAAGCUAAAUAAGCUAAUGGGUUCAUACCUCAUUUAUAAAGGAAUCACCUUUUUUUUUUA